UACGAAGGGGGCUAGCGUUGCUCGGAAUCACUGGGCGUAAAGCGCACGUAGGCGGACUCUUAAGUCGGUGGUGAAAUCCUGGAGCUCAACUCCAGAACUGCCUUCGAUACUGAGAGUCUCGAGUCCGGGAGAGGUGAGUGGAAUUCCCGGUGUAGUGGUGAAAUGCGUAGAUAUCGGGAGGAACACCAGUGGCGAAGGCGACUUCCUGGCCUGUUCUUGACGCUGAGGCGCGAAAGCUAGGGGAGCAAACGGG
rnacentral:rRNA from 1 species